UAAGCAUAUAAAACAAAUAAAGUCGGUG
rnacentral:sRNA from 1 species